GCAUGGAUGAAUUCUGCGUUGGCUUGCGGUAGCGACUGCAGUCAGACACCAUGCUAAACUAUUUCUUGCAUGUGCUCGUUUUAAUGACGUUUGUUCAUUGAAUGUCGUCAAAAAGUGCAUUUGCAUACACUG